rnacentral:rRNA from 1 species
AACGAACGCUGGCGGCAUGCCUAACACAUGCAAGUCGAACGAAGCCUUCGGGUUUAGUGGCGCACGGGUGCGUAACGCGUGGGAAUCUGCCCUUGGGUUCGGAAUAACAGUUAGAAAUGACUGCUAAUACCGAAUGAUGUCUUCGGACCAAAGAUUUAUCGCCCAAGGAUGAGCCCCGCGUCGGAUUAGCUAGUUGGUGAGGUAAAGGCUCACCAAGGCGACGAUCCGUAGCUGGUCUGAGAGGAUGAUCAGCCACACUGGGACUGAGACACGGCCCAGACUCCUACGGGAGGCAGCAGUGGGGAAUAUUGGACAAUGGGCGAAAGCCUGAUCCAGCAAUGCCGCGUGAGUGAUGAAGGCCUUAGGGUUGUAAAGCUCUUUUACCCGGGAUGAUAAUGACAGUACCGGGAGAAUAAGCCCCGGCUAACUCCGUGCCAGCAGCCGCGGUAAU